rnacentral:rRNA from 1 species
GGAGGCAGCAGUGAGGAAUAUUGGUCAAUGGACGAGAGUCUGAACCAGCCAAGUAGCGUGAAGGAUGACUGCCCUAUGGGUUGUAAACUUCUUUUAUAUGGGAAUAAAACAGGGUAUGCAUACCCUCUUGUAUGUACCAUAUGAAUAAGGAUCGGCUAACUCCGUGCCAGCAGCCGCGGUAAUACGGAGGAUCCGAGCGUUAUCCGGAUUUAUUGGGUUUAAAGGGAGCGUAGGUGGAUUGUUAAGUCAGUUGUGAAAGUUUGCGGCUCAACCGUAAAAUUGCAGUUGAAACUGGCAGUCUUGAGUACAGUAGAGGUGGGCGGAAUUCGUGGUGUAGCGGUGAAAUGCUUAGAUAUCACGAAGAACUCCGAUUGCGAAGGCAGCUCACUGGACUGCAACUGACACUGAUGCUCGAAAGUGUGGGUAUCAAACAGGAUUAGAUACCCUGGUAGUCCACACAGUAAACGAUGAAUACUCGCUGUUUGCGAUAUACAGUAA